rnacentral:snRNA from 1 species
GGACGUGAGAGCAGUCUUUCACCCCAUUGAUCACCAGGGUUGAUUCGGCUGAUCCGGCUGGCUAGGCGAGUGUCUCCUUCCUCCCUCACCGCUCCAUGUGCGUCCCUCCCGAAGCUGCGUGCUCGGUUGAAGAGGACGACCAACCCCGAUAGACCGUUCUUCUAGGUCAAGGUCAAGGGUGUACGAGUAACUGCGCCCCCCUGCUCAGCCUCCAAACAAGCUCUCUACAGGUCUUAAUACUUUCUAUAUACUAACUCAUUUUGAUCCUCACUAAAAUCAUACGAAAUAAGAUUACUACGAUCUUGUUAUAGUUAUUUUU